rnacentral:rRNA from 1 species
GACGAACGCUGGCGGCGUGCCUAAUACAUGCAAGUUGAGCGCUGAAGGUUGGUACUAGUACCAACUGGAUGAGCAGCGAACGGGUGAGUAACGCGUGGGGAAUCUGCCUUUGAGCGGGGGACAACAUUUGGAAACGAAUGCUAAUACCGCAUAAAAACUUUAAACACAAGUUUUAAGUUUGAAAGAUGCAAUUGCAUCACUCAAAGAUGAUCCCGCGUUGUAUUAGCUAGUUGGUGAGGUAAAGGCUCACCAAGGCGAUGAUACAUAGCCGACCUGAGAGGGUGAUCGGCCCCAUUGGGACUGGGACACGGCCCAAACUCCUACGGGAGGCAGCAGUAGGGAAUCUUCGGCAAUGGACGAAAGUCUGACCGAGCAACGCCGCGUGAGUGAAGAAGGUUUUCGGAUCGUAAAACUCUGUUGGUAGAGAAGAACGUUGGUGAGAGUGGAAAGCUCAUCAAGUGACGGUAACUACCCAGAAAGGGACGGCUAACUACGUG